UCAGAUCUCUCCCUCUUUCUUUGUCCAGAUCGCGCUCAAUCUCUCUCUUGAGAUCGGCCAUCAUCAAUGUUGAAUGUUGAAACCCUAAUUAGGGUUUUACAAUGAAAAUUCACACAGUUUGAUUUUUUUCAGCAAAAUUGUCAUUUAGACCUAAUCACUAGAUCUGUGUGUUGGUUUGUGCUUGUUGUUGUGUGUGUUGGUUGUUUUCUUAUUUCCCCAGACGUUUAGUAGGAAUCCUAAAAUAGGCCAUGGAAGAUGGAGAGAUCGAUUUUCAGUUCAGGUCUGCACUUCUGAAUUCCUCAUUUCCAUCUCAGAGAUCGGCACAUCUAUUUAAUGGCUAGUGGGAAGAUAUUGGGACCGUUAAAUCCUUUUUGGAUGCUAAAUUAGCUCUCACAUAUUAGCUGUCUAAUGUUUGGUGAAGCCUCCCAAGUUUCAAUUUUAUGAUCUGCUGAAGCCAAUCUUCACGUCUCCUAAGUUUCUACCACCAACGAAGAUAGAAAAAUGCCAGAUUUUGGACUCCAUAAUUUCACAUGGAUGCUUCUUAAGGGAAUGCAGUGUUGAACAUUCCAUAGUUGGGACACGCUCAAGACUGAAGUAUGGGUCUGAACUGAAGGUAGUUCAUGUCUCAUCCAUGACGCACUUCCUUGACAGAGAUUUGUGAAUGGUAUCAUGAGCUCCUGAAGGAACUCAAGAAAGGAGAGAAAAGGGCCAGAAUAGUUGCUGACUUUGAUUUGGAUGCACACAUGAAUGUGGUCUACUGUUUGCUUCCUUUUAUUCUAGAGGUUGUUAAAAAGUUAGUUUCUAUUGGCAAUGAUUAAAAGCUACAGUUAAUUUUCACAGGCAAUAACAGUUGAUUCGACCUCAAAAUGAGAAUGGUAUGUAAUUAUCCAUCUAAGCUCAAAAUUAAUUGAUUCACGUUAGUAUGAUUUAUUUCUGAUUCUAUGUGGAAGUUCCUGACCACAACUUUGUGCUUUUUGGCUUUUCCCUGGCUUUUGCUUUCUUUUUAUUUAACCAUUUGUUUGUAGCUGUCGAUCAAAGGAUUAGGAACUUCUAGUGUAAGCUUACUCAACCCACGCUGAGAUCCAUCAAAUUAAUAGUCUGGAUUACCACAUACACCGCUUGUACGGAACCCAAGACGGUUUUCAUACCCAAUGCAUCAUGGCCCAUUACUUUGGUUCUAUUUCUGAGUUGUUUUAGCAUAUAUAGCCAGAUCAGGUCCUUUUCAAUGACCC